GACGAAGGAUGCAAGCGUUAUCCGGAUUCAUUGGGUUUAAAGGGAGCGUAGGUGGUCUUAUAAGUCAGUGGUGAAAUCUCUGGGCUUAACCCAGAAAUUGCCAUUGAUACUGUAGGACUUGAGUAUAGUUGCCGUUGGCGGAAUAUGACAUGUAGUGGUGAAAUACAUAGAGAUGUCAUAGAACACCGAUUGCGAAGGCAGCUAACGAAGCUGUAACUGACGCUGAGGCACGAAAGUGAGGGGAUCAAACAGG
rnacentral:rRNA from 1 species